rnacentral:rRNA from 1 species
GAUGAACGCUAGCUACAGGCUUAACACAUGCAAGUCGAGGGACCGGCGCACGGGUGAGUAACGCGUAUCCAACCUGCCCAUAAGUAGGGUAUAACCCGCAGAAAUGCGGACUAAUACCCUAUGCUUAUGGGUGGGGAUGCGGCCGAUUAGCUUGUUGUGGAGGUAACGGCUCACCAAGGCUUCGAUCGGUAGGGGUUCUGAGAGGAAGGCCACCCACAUAGGAACUGAGACACGUCCCGAACUCCUAUGGGAGGCAGCAGUGAGGAAUGUUGGUCAAUGGUCGAGGGCCGGAACCAGCCAAGUAGCGUGCAGGAUGACGGCCUAUGGGUGUUAAACUGCUUUUAUGCGGGGAUAGGUACCGCAUGAAUAAGGACCGGCUAAUUCCGUGCCAGCAGCCGCGGUAAUAC